rnacentral:rRNA from 1 species
GACGGAGGAUGCAAGCGUUAUCCGGGAUGAUUGGGCGUAAAGCGUCUGCAGGUGGCAGUUCAAGUCUGCUGUCAAAGACCGGGGCUUAACUUCGGAAAGGCAGUGGAAACUGAACAGCUAGAGUAUGGUAGGGGCAGAGGGAAUUCCUGGUGUAGCGGUGAAAUGCGUAGAGAUCAGGAAGAACAUCGGUGGCGAAGGCGCUCUGCUGGACCAUAACUGACACUCAGGGACGAAAGCUAGGGGAGCGAAUGGGA